rnacentral:rRNA from 1 species
GAUAGUCCCGUAUACGAAAUAAUCACAGUGGAACUAAGCAUACGAACAAGUAGGACGGGGCACGUGGAACCUUGUCUGAAUAUGGGGGGACCAUCCUCCAAGGCUAAAUACUCCUGAAUGACCGAUAGUGAACUAGUACCGUGAGGGAAAGGUGAAAAGAACCCUUAUAAAGGGAGUGAAAUAGAAUCUGAAACCGCUUGCAUACAAGCAGUAGGAGCAUGAUUUAGUCAUGUGACUGCGUACCUUUUGUAUAAUGGGUCAGCGAGUUAUUUUUAGUGGCGAGGAUAACUGAAUAAGGGAUCCGUAGCGAAAGCGAGUUUUAAUAGGGCGACUAGUCGCUAGGAGUAGACCCGAAACCGGCGCGAUCUAUCCAUGGCCAGGUUGAAGAUUAGGUAGUACUAAUUGGAGGACCGAACCCAAUACUGUUGCAAAAG